UAACCCAGUUACACUUUUAAAAUAAAUGCACCAAACAGCUCAGUUAGUUUUACGGGAAUUAUCACGGUUUUGCUUGAAGUCUCUUGUUCCUCUGCAGUCGCCUCACUGCUGCCUUCAGGGGGAGUUAACUGAAACAACAGCGAUGCUAACAGCUGCUUUAUCACCCUGCAGGCUCACUAAAGCAAACCAAAGUUUGCUGAAGUAAAUUCAUCUAGUGUGAUGUGAGCAGUGUAAACGUGUCUGGGUGAUUCCAGUAUAUAGAAGGUUGCUAUGGUGAAUCCUAUUAGACCCAAGCUGCAACCAGGCAACCAACCGGUGCUCCAGGAAGUCACAGAUAAUAAUCCAAGUGUCCGAAACCAGCCACCUCUUCACUGCUCACUACUCCACAGGGAGCUCUGCACAGUGGACUUUUAAUCUGUGACACUAAAAAGAUGCUGUUAUUUCUCUGAACCAGCAGCCACAAGUUCAAGAGCAUCUGUGUCCAGUCCGUCAGACCAGUGGACCCAGUCAGGAGGAGGGACCAGGACCAGGAGGAACCAGGACCAGGUGGAGGAACUAGGACCAAGAACAGGGGCUAGCACUAGGAGAAGGAACCAAGAGGGACCAGGACCAUCCCUGCUCUGAUCUCACACAUGUCUCUCUUUGUUCAGACUCUGAAGGGUCAGUGAUUCUGACAAGACAAACUCCUUCAUGUCAGACUCCUCCUCCUCCUCCCACCAGACAUCACAUCAGCUCCAUCAGAGGUCAAAGGUCAGAGCGGGAGCAGCCAACCACAGUGACCUCACACUGAGAGAGAGGAGGCUCAGGAGGAAGAGGGAUUAGAGAGGAGGAAGAGGAGGAGGAAGAGGAGGAGGAGGAGUAAUACCGCCUCUCGGACAGAAGAGGGCGCCACACACCAGUUAAUGACGAGAGAGGUGACAGAAGCGCUGAGAGCUGCUACUGAAGGACAGAACUGUGAAUAAUGAACAUGUUUUAUUAUUGAGUGACAGUUUUUGAUGCUGGUGAGAGAGUGAUGACGUCACUGCUGAGUCUGUGAUCAUUGGUCAGAAUGUUUUUGCUCAGUGUAAAGUAACUAAACUGUUGUGAGGUAAAAAAAAAAAAAAAAAAGUACAAUAAACAGUUUUUAUUGGAUCAUGUAAAGUUAUUUGAGUUAUUUGCUGAUGUUCUGAAUGUAUAGGACAGUAAACUAACCUUUUAGAUGUUUGUGACCAUAUUAAUUGUUAUUAUUCUGUAUUUAAAGACACUGAACUCUUUAACUUUGCGCACUGAGGUGAUAUAAAGUUGUACUUUUACUGAAGACAUUAGUAGCCAGAGGUGUUUUACAGUCAGACGCUGAUGUAGAAACUUGUGUUUGUGCUAAACUGAAAUGAAUCUGCAUUAAAACUCUGUCAUAUAAGAUAAACACGUGAGUGGAUGGAGGUGGAGGCACAUCAUGGAGCUAACAUGAAACAAACAGGAGGUGACAGGAGGCAAAGUCUGUGACAAAGUCCAGCAUGUGGAGGAGUUUUCAUGUUAAUAAUUCACCUCAGAGCUUUAAGUUUCACUGUAUGUCGUUGUUUUGGUGGAGAAACGACCUCGAGGUGACCGUUUAACCAAUCAGAGAGCUGCUUCACAGAUGGCAGCCUGUGAUAGGAUGACUGAACAACA